CCUACGGGGGGCUGCAGUGGGGAAUAUUGGACAAUGGGCGAAAGCCUGAUCCAGCCAUGCCGCGUGUGUGAAGAAGGCCUUCGGGUUGUAAAGCACUUUCAGUGGGGAAGAAAGCCUUGGGGCUAAUACCCUCGAGGAAGGACAUCACCCACAGAAGAAGCACCGGCUAACUCCGUGCCAGCAGCCGCGGUAAUACGGAGGGUGCGAGCGUUAAUCGGAAUUACUGGGCGUAAAGCGCGCGUAGGCGGUCUGAUAAGCCGGUUGUGAAAGCCCCGGGCUCAACCUGGGAACGGCAUCCGGAACUGUCAGGCUAGAGUGCAGGAGAGGAAGGUAGAAUUCCCGGUGUAGCGGUGAAAUGCGUAGAGAUCGGGAGGAAUACCAGUGGCGAAGGCGGCCUUCUGGACUGACACUGACGCUGAGGUGCGAAAGCGUGGGUAGCAAACAGGAUUAGAUACCCUAGAGUC
rnacentral:rRNA from 1 species